CAUAGAUGCGCCGCUUCUGCACGUCCAGCACCUCAGCGGCCCAGUUCAGGUCCAGGACCCCAUCCUCUGACUCGCUCAGGAGGGUCCCAAUGCGGCAAGUGUCCCCCUAAGGAUACCUCCCUGACACCUUUGGACAGUGCCCAGAGGAAAGUCAGCCUAUGGCUUGGGCUGAACCUGCAGAACACAGGUGGCAGAGGACAAGCCCAGGAGGAUCAGGAUCAAGGCAGCCCCUUUGGCUGGAUCUUCAAGGCCUGGUCAGGACUCAAGCCCACCCUGCCAACCCCUAUGGAGAAGAGUACAGCUCCUUCCUCAGGCAGCUGCAGAAGUGCAGAGGGUCAGAGAUCACCAGGCACAACCCCCUUACGGGCACCACGGUGAGGAAACUGGGACUUGGGGAAGAGGAAUUGACUUGCCCAAGGUCACGCAGAGUGGAGCCUGGUCUCUCCUAAGCCCUAAGUCAGAUGGUGGGGGUAGGAGCAAAUGUAAGGGGUCGAACCUUGCUUUCAGAUCCCAGCUCUGCCACUUGGUAGCUGAACAGCCUGGGAUUCACUGUCUUGCCUCUCUGAGCCUACACCUCCUCACCUGACCUGCCUUGUAGAGUUGUGUGUUAAAAUGUUUAUUUUUUUUCAUGCCUCACAAGAGGAAAUCUGGAAAAUGUAGACAAAUUGAAAGAAAAGGAGGACCGGGCGUGGUGGCUCACGCUUGUAAUCCCAGCACUUUGGGAGGCCAAGGCGGGUGGAUCACCUGAGGUCAGGAGUUCGAGACUAGCCUGGCCAACAUGGUGAAACCCCAUCUCUACUAAAAAUACAAAAAGUAAUCCCAGCUACUUGGGAGGCUGAGACAGGAGAAUCAUUUGAACCUGGGAGGCAGAGUUUGCAGUGGGCAGAGAUGGCGCUAUUGCAAGCCAGCCUGGGCAGAGCUUCCUGCAGGCGUGAAAGAGAAUGAUGCCAUGCGCCUGGCCAGAGGAGGCAUGCGAUAAAGGGGCAUUCCCUGAGACUUCCUCAGAGGACUUGGAAAGAGCUCUGGACAGGGAGCCAGGAGAUCUGGGUUGUGGCCUUCAUUCUGCCAUUGAACUUGGUUGCCAUCCUUGGACAGUGCCUGAGGUCCCUUUAAACAGAAGCUCCACAACAAAUCCUGCUCACCCUGCACUUUGCAGCCCGGCCACAAAGCAAGCGGCCACACCCAGGGUUGGGUUUGGAGCUGUUCCAGGUCACACCCUUGUAAAAUGAGUAAGCAGAGGGCAGGCCUGCCCACGGGGCUGGGCCCCGGGCAUCUGGGGAUUGACAGGAGCGGCAGCUCUGGGCCUGGCAGGGCUUUAGGGUGGUCUGCUGCAAGGAGACUCCCCUGCUUCUUCACUUGUGACCCAGGCAAGUGACUUCCUUUCUUUGCUCAGUUUCCUUAUCUGCAAGGUGCCUCAUUCUGGACAUCCUGACCAAGAUAAUGAACGUGAAGAGUGCCAAGCAGUGUCUGGCACACGAGAGGCACUCAGUAAAAGAGAGACCUUCUUGCUAAGAUCACUGAGCCCUUCUGGGAGGGAGGUACAGACAGAUGUACUUGGGCUCCUCUGGGAGGGUUCAAAGCAGUGUAAAACCACAGCUGUUACUGAAACUUCCAGUCUGAAAGCAGCUGGCCAGAGGAGAGUGGGCCUGCCGCAAAACUCCCUUCCCUGGGGGGAACUCAGCUCCUAAGUCAGGCAGUAUUAAAAAAAGUCAAGGCUACAUAGAGAAGAGCCUGCUGCCUGACCAGGUGCAGUAGAGUAGCUCAUGCCUGUAAUCCCAGCACUUUGGGAGGCUGAGGCAAGAGGAUUGCUUGAGCCCAGGAGUUUGAGACCAGCCUGGGGAACAUAGGGAGACCCCCGUCUCUACAAAAAAUAAAAAAUAAAAGACAGAA